ensembl:lncRNA
AGAGAGGUUGGGGCAGGCUAGAGAGAGAGAAAGAGUGACCGAGGUAGAGAGAGGUUGGGGCAAGGUACAGAGAGAGCGAGGUAGAGAGCGGUUGGGGUAGUUAAGCCAGACAUCACAAUAGGUGGACUCCGCUCCGCAGCGCGUCCGGUUCGUCUAGUCUCCAGUCGGCGUGUGUGUGGGCUACGGAGGAUUUUUACCGAGGCUGUGUUGAACCACUGUGCGGCUAUUUUACGGACCUUUCGGUGAUCUUUGGGAUGACAGCAACGUGAAAAGUUGAAUUUAGCAGAUCUCUGGAGACUCCUGUUGCUCUGUGGCGAGGGCUCUUCAACCAAGGGGCCCUCUCCUGGGACGCGACCAGACAUCAUGACAUGAUGGAUGUUUACUGCGGCUCCAAAGUACACAAACACCACGGGCCAGGGGUUGCAGUAAUGAUUUCUGCAGAUGAGUUCCUAUUUGUAUUGAUUUAAUGAGGAUUGUAUCUAGCUAUGAUUAUUUAUAUAAUUCCUUUAUUGAAUAAUGCAGCCCUCUCUGUCUCUCAUUCUCUCUCCCCUUCUCUCUCACUCUGUCUCUCGCUCUUUCUCUCUUUCUCUCUAGCCUGCAACCCUCUUUUGUCCUAUUUUCUACUCUUUAAAGAGGGGGUUGGGUUAAAGUCAUAUCCUCAUAAGGUAUUUAGUUAUUGAUUAUGCUAUAAAGAAAUCCAAUAAGCAUGGUCUUUAACAACGGCAAAUACACAUCACACCCAAGGUCCGGAAUUAGCGUUUGUGGUCGGGGAAACAGCCAAGAAAAAAACUAAGAUUCGCAUUUCUGAGGCGAUAAGCUGAUGGCUCCAGACGUUCAGACUGGUUCAAGAAGAGCCAGUUAUCAGGACCAGUAUGACCAGUGCGACCCAGUUCACUGCAGGCUCUGACAUCACACAGGAAGUUCUCAGCCCGUGGAUGUGCUCGCAGUGACCGCACCGGGCCGUCUCCCCAAAGCACACAGCUGGCCGCUGAUUACAAUGGCUACCAAGGAAACGCCAAGUCUGCUUAUUUAUUCGUUCCCCCAGCAUACACUAAUCAGCCGGCCCCUUCACCUACUUGGAUGCCGAC